GAGAGCAACUGCUGCUGAGUUUGGCUGCUCAGAACCAGUCUACUUUGGCCAAGUGCAGACAGCUUAACUGAGUCAUGAUUUGGGGGCUUGAAACCACGGGUGCUCAUACAGCAUUUGGACUGAGAGAGAUAAAUAGUACAAUUUGGAGAGCUGGAGCUGGGAAACGGAGUGACACAACUCAUGAGUAGCUGUCAACAUGAUGAAUACUGACUUAGAAGUUACCUGUGGCUCCAAACUCAAUUCAAAAAAGUCAAGCACUCUUGUUGCUGCUCCUAAUGCAAGAUGGUCUCGUGCUACUCUGCCAAUCCCUAAAGCAGGAGGAAGAUAUUUCCAAAUAAAGUGCCAAAAGCAACUGCCAGGUCACCAGC